GAUGAACGCUGACAGAAUGCUUAACACAUGCAAGUCUACUUGAACUUCGGUUUGGGUGGCGGACGGGUGAGUAACGCGUACAGAACUUGCCUCACAGAUAGGGACGACAUUUGGAAACGAAUGCUAAUACCUGAUAUUAUGAUUUUAGGGCAUCCUAGAAUUAUGAAAGCUAUAUGCACUGUGAGAGAGCUUUGCGUCCCAUUAGCUAGUUGGAGAGGUAACGGCUCACCAAGGCGAUGAUGGGUAGCCGGCCUGAGAGGGUGAUCGGCCACAAGGGGACUGAGACACGGCCCUUACUCCUACGGGAGGCAGCAGUGGGGAAUAUUGGACAAUGGACCAAGAGUCUGAUCCAGCAAUUCUGUGUGCACGAUGAAGUUUUUCGGAAUGUAAAGUGCUUUCAGUUGGGAAGAAAAAAAUGACGGUACCAACAGAAGAAGUGACGGCUAAAUACGUG
rnacentral:rRNA from 1 species